AGAACUUCAUUGUAGAGAAAAUGGUAAUUUUUUAAGUUUUCCCACCUUAUAAGGGGCUUGGUUUAUAAGAAUGUUUAUUCUAAUUUGAUAUUGUCAAGCACUGAGUGGGUAACUUGGAAAUCAGAAAAAAAAGUCAGGCUUUAGUCUCCACACAGCCACCUCAGGUUUAUGUAUCUGCCCUGGUUGGUGCAGCUCUGUCCUUCCAGGUCUUCACUUCAUUGCUGUAGAGACAAAGCAGGAGCCCCUGUCUUCCAAAAUCUGAUUUUUUUUUUUUUAUUAUUUUAUUUUUUUUUCAACUGAGAAGACAGAAUGUUUAUGGAUAUCCACACAGACACACCAAAUUUAUGUUUUUCUUCCCAUGAAUCUCUGCUCACUCUCUCUGGCAACUGUGAAAGCCCUUUGCUGCUCUUUCCCUCGCUCUUAGUUCACAUCCGAAUGUUUGACUUCCAUGUGCCAUCCCUUUCCUUGUUGGUGGCAAUACAGGCCUACUUUUGGAGUCACUACUUACCAAAGAUCAACAUGAAGGUUUUUGUUUCAAUGGCACAAGCCUUUCUUCUAUCCACAUUGAAAAUCAUGUUGCUUUUUCAAGAGCUCCACAAGGAUCCAAGUGAAAAGAUUUGCAGACAGACUAAAGAAGAGUCCUUUGAGCAGUGUGCUGCACUUCUUGGCGAGUUCAGCGGAGCGGUUGGAUGCCCUUGACACCACAGACACAGGAGAAUUCUCUGUGCCAUACAUGCUCAGCAUUGGGAUUGUCAUCCACCUGCUGUCCUCCACUUGAGUUCGAAGGUCUCGAUCUCGCCUUUCCCCAUCUUGCACAUAUGUAUGUAUUUUUUUAUAAACUAUUCCCAGAAGAAACUAUUCUGACUGCUGUUACAUUUUGGAGUCUAAUAUCUCAGAAAUAUACCCAGAUGGAUGGUAGAAAAAAAAUCAAGUGAACAGGCCAAGGAAUCUGC